AGAACGAACGCUGGCGGCAGGCCUAAAACAUGCAAGUCGAACGCUCUAGCAAUAGAGAGUGGCGCACGGGUGCGUAACAUGUGGGAAUAUGCCUUUUGGUACGGAAUAACUUUUGGAAACGAAAGCUAAUACCGUAUGGUCCCUUCGGGGUAAAGAUUUAUCGCCAAAAGAGUAGCCCGCACUGGAUUAGCUAGUUGGUAAGGUAAUGGCUUACCAAGGCGACGAUCCAUAGCUGGUCUGAGAGGACGAUCAGCCACACUGGGACUGAGACACGGCCCAGACUCCUACGGGAGGCAGCAGUUAGGAAUCUUGGACAAUGGACGCAAGUCUGAUCCAGCCAUGCCGCGUGAGUGAUGAAGGCCUUCGGGUUGUAAAGUCUCUUUAGCCGACGAAUAUAAUGACUGUAGUCGGAGAAUAACGCCCCGGCUAACGUUCGUGCCAGCAGCCGC
rnacentral:rRNA from 1 species